rnacentral:rRNA from 1 species
UACAGGGGGUGCAAACGUUGCUCGGAAUUAUUGGGCGUAAAGCGCGCGUAGGCGGCUACUUAUGUCGGAUGUGAAAGCCCUUGGCUCAACUGAGGAAGUGCACCCGAAACUGAGUAGCUGGAGUACGAAAGAGGGUCGCGGAAUUCCGGGUGUAGCGGUGGAAUGCGUAGAGAUCCGGAAGAACACCAGUGGCGAAGGCGGCCUGCUGGGCAGUGGACUCGAAAGGGUCCUUCAACCGACGACUGAUGCGCGACAGCGUGGGGAGCAAACAGG